GGAAUUCAUAAAGGGGGAGGAGGAGGGUUGAGGAGGAUCGAAUGAGAGGAUCAUGAAGAGGAAGGAGGAGCCUGGGGAGAGAGAAUCACUGCUGUGAGGAGCCUGUGGAGAAGCAUUGCUGGAAUGCCAGAGGUUGGAGUUCAUUGUUCCUGAGCACGAGAGAGACGGUAGGAGAUCAGUGGACAGAGAACUUGAGAAUGUUAAAACCCACCAGAAAGAAAAUCCCCUGCCAAACGUCAGAGAGCUGGAAGACACCUGGGAGUGCUUCCCCUGGAAGUGCUUCCCCAGGCCCUUCACCCUACCCCGGUGUGUUCUAGGAGCACAAGGAGAUACGACAUAUCAUUUCUCUGUUGAUGAGGGUGGCUGACCAUCGUAUACCAGAUGAGAGAAUAAGUGAGGAAAGGUGAAGACUCUGAAAGAAAACUUGUUCAGGGCUCUUUGCAUUUUAUGAAGCAGAUCCAACUUCAUAAUUUGAUGCUGAUUUUUGACUUAUUGUCAGAGGGGGAAUGACACCACAUCAAUAAGGUGAUUUGUGAAAGGAGACCCAUAUUGGUCAUGUGUUUGCUUUGUUGGUUUUUUCAGACAGAUGACUAGAAUUUUAUUCACUUACGGUUAAUCAUGUGUGGCUGUCUAUUACAUUAUUGCAAACAUAUGUGAGACUCCUCAGUUUUGAGGAAGAGAUAUUUCUCAGUACCAGAGGGUAGAGGGAAUUUUGUCAUCUAAAGCAUCAUGACAGAUCUCUGAAAGCAUGAUAUUUCUAUUAAGCAAGAAUCUAUGUGGUGUGUUUUUUUUGUUGUUGGUGGUUUGUUUGUUUGUUUGUUUUUUCCCAAGUAUUUUCUUGCAAAGAUGAAUAUAGCCCAGGCACAAUGGUGUAACUCUUAACCCACUCCCACCUAUCCCUCUGAUUUUUCUCAUAUUCUUUUGCAUCUCUCCUGCCAUAUGUACUCCACAGCCAAUCUUGGUAUAAGCUGCUCACUUGCAGCUACUGCAACACCCAGAGAAUGGCUCACAACUGCAGACUUGCCCACAGAGGAGCAUAUUAGGAGCAUUUUCAGUGUUGGGU